rnacentral:rRNA from 1 species
AGUGAACGCUGGCGGUAGGCCUAACACAUGCAAGUCGAACGGCAGCACAGUAAGAGCUUGCUCUUACGGGUGGCGAGUGGCGGACGGGUGAGGAAUACAUCGGAAUCUACUUUUUCGUGGGGGAUAACGUAGGGAAACUUACGCUAAUACCGCAUACGACCUACGGGUGAAAGCAGGGGAUCUUCGGACCUUGCGCGAUUGAAUGAGCCGAUGUCGGAUUAGCUAGUUGGCGGGGUAAAGGCCCACCAAGGCGACGAUCCGUAGCUGGUCUGAGAGGAUGAUCAGCCACACUGGAACUGAGACACGGUCAAGACUCCUAAGGGAGGCAGCAGUGGGGAAUAUUGGACAAUGGGCGCAAGCCUGAUCCAGCCAUACUGCGUGGGUGAAGAAGGCCUUCGGGUUGUAAAGCCCUUUUGUUGGGAAAGAAAAGCAGCAGGUUAAUACCCCGCUGUUCUGACGGUACCCAAAGAAUAAGCACCGGCUAACUUCGUG